UGCUAUGAUAUCCUGUUAAAAAUCAUAAGAUAGCGAACAUCCUUGGCUGCUAUGAUAGCCAGUUAACUAGCUAGUUAUCUAACGUCUAUGGCCAGUUCAUGCACCACAAUAUAUCAUACUUUCUUACAAAAAAACAUAGCUAGUUAACAGCAUCACUGUUUCAAACAUAUAGAAUACAUUCCAGCUCCUUCCUUGUCAUUAUUAUGAUACACAUUUGUGCUGACUGAUUAACACAGUGUCAAGUUACUUUCCAGUGUGUGCUGCACACGGUGCACCCAGGUAAAACCACGUUAGAAUCAUUAAGGGGGUUAGAUUAAUCUGGUCCGGGUGCCGUGUCGGCAUGUUUUGCCCUGGUUAAAAAUGAAUCGUAUUCGAUUUGGAACUGGACUGCCACCGGUAGUGAUUAUGGUGCCCGCUCUGUCUGGUGGCGAAGUCGGUUCCAAACAAAAGUGAGCACAACAGUGCCUUCACAUAGGCAGGGCUGAGGUGCUAUCCCUUCCUACAGCACAACAGUGUCUUCACAUAGGCAGGGCUGAGG
rnacentral:lncRNA from 1 species